rnacentral:rRNA from 1 species
UACAGAGGGUGCAAGCGUUGUUCGGAAUUAUUGGGCGUAAAGCGCGUGUAGGCGGCUUUGCAAGUCGGGUGUGAAAGCCCGAGGCUCAACCUCGGAACUGCCUUCGAUACUGCGGGUCUCGAGUCCGGGAGAGGUGAGUGGAAUUCCUAGUGUAGAGGUGAAAUUCGUAGAUAUUAGGAAGAACACCAGUGGCGAAGGCGGCUCACUGGCCCGGUACUGACGCUGAGGCGCGAAAGCGUGGGGAGCAAACAGG